rnacentral:rRNA from 1 species
AGCAGCCGCGGUAAUUCCAGCUCCAAUAGCGUAUAUUAAAGUUGUUGCAGUUAAAAAGCUCGUAGUUGAAUUUCGGGGUCAGUAGAUUGGUCAUGCCACUGGUAUGUACUGGUCUCACUGAUUCCUCCUUCCUGAUGAGCCGUAAUGCCAUUAAUUUGGUGUUGCGAGGAAUCUGGACUGUUACUUUGAAAAAUUAGAGUGUUUAAAGCAGGCUAACGCUUGAAUACAUUAGCAUGGAAUAAUGAAAUAGGACGUUCGAUCUUAUUUUGUUGGUUUCUAAGAUUGACGUAAUGAUUAAUAGGGAUAGUUGGGGGCAUUAGUAUUCAAUUGUCAGAGGUGAAAUUCUCGGAUUUAUUGAAGACUAACUACUGCGAAAGCAUUUGCCAAGGAUGUUUUCAUUAAUCAAGAACGAAAGUUAGGGGAUCGAAGACGAUCAGAUACCGUCGUAGU